rnacentral:rRNA from 1 species
UACGGAGGGUGCAAGCGUUAUCCGGAUUCACUGGGUUUAAAGGGUGCGUAGGUGGGCAGGUAAGUCAGUGGUGAAAUCUCCGAGCUUAACUCGGAACUGCCGUUGAUACUAUUUGUCUUGAAUAUUGUGGAGGUAAGCGGAAUAUGUCAUGUAGCGGUGAAAUGCUUAGAUAUGACAUAGAACACCAAUUGCGAAGGCAGCUUACUACACAACGAUUGACGCUGAGGCACGAAAGCGUGGGGAGCAAACAGG